rnacentral:rRNA from 1 species
GUACGAAGGGGGCUAGCGUUGUUCGGAAUUACUGGGCGUAAAGCGCACGUAGGCGGCGCAGCAAGUUAGAUGUGAAAUGCCUGGGCUUAACCUAGGAACUGCAUUUAAGACUGCUGUGCUAGAGACCGGGAGAGGGUGGCGGAAUUCCCAGUGUAGAGGUGAAAUUCGUAGAUAUUGGGAAGAACACCGGUUGCGAAGGCGGCCACCUGGACCGGCACUGACGCUGAGGUGCGAAAGCGUGGGGAGCAAACAGG